AUGGUAACUUGCCAGCAGCGAGGUAUAGAGUUCCUACGUAAUAGUUGCAAUAGUAGGAACUUCAUACCGUGCUCUUGGACUUGCCAUA
rnacentral:pre_miRNA from 1 species